rnacentral:rRNA from 1 species
GCCAAAUCACGUUGAAAAACCGGUUCCCGUACGAUCACCGAAGAUAAGCAACAUUGAGUCUGGUUAGUAUCUAGGUGGGUCACCGCUUGGGAAUACCAUGUACUGUAAG